UCCUCCCUUACCUUGUUUGUCGAUUCAAUGUACCUAGACAAGGUGUAAUACACCUUUUGUGUUUCAUCUUUUUUUUUCCUCUCCAUAUUGUUGUUCCUCUCCUUUGCUCCUCCAUUUUCUCUCCAUUUUUCUUUUGCUUUAGCCAUCUACCAUCACUUUUGCCCUAUUUUCCUCCUCUCCUCCACCAUUUUUUUGCCACCCGAACCAUCACCAAACCUCCCCUUUGCCAUCGCU
rnacentral:lncRNA from 1 species